rnacentral:misc_RNA from 1 species
AGCAGCCGCGGUAAUUCCAGCUCCAAUAGCGUAUAUUAAAGUUGUUGCAGUUAAAAAGCUCGUAGUUGAAUUUCGGGAUCAAUUAAUUGGUCGUGCCUCUGGUACGUACUGAUUUUAUUGGUUUCUCCCUUCUGACGAACCAUGAUGUCAUUAAUUUGGUGUCGUGGAGAAUCAGGACUGUUACUUUGAAAAAAUUAGAGUGUUUAAAGCAAGCUAACGCUUGAAUACAUUAGCAUGGAAUAAUGAAAUAGGACGUUUGAUCCUAUUUUGUUGGUUUCUAGGAUCGACGUAAUGAUUAAUAGGGAUAGUUGGGGGCAUUAGUAUUCAAUUGUCAGAGGUGAAAUUCUUGGAUUUAUUGAAGACUAACUACUGCGAAAGCAUUUGCCAAGGAUGUUUUCAUUAAUCAAGAACGAAAGUUAGGGGAUCGAAGACGAUCAGAUACCGUCGUAGUCUUAACCAUAAACUAUGCCGACUAGGGAUCGGAUGAUGUUAAUUUUUUAAUGACUCAUUCGGCACCUUA